UUACGGUCAUUUCAUGUUGACACACCAGUUCCCGUACGAUCAUUGAAGUUAGGCAACGUCGAGGCUGGUCAGGGCUUAGAUGGGUUACCGCUUGGGAAUAACUCGUGCUGUAAG